rnacentral:misc_RNA from 1 species
GAUGAAGAACGCAGCGAAAUGCGAUAAGUAAUGUGAAUUGCAGAAUUCAGUGAAUCAUCGAAUCUUUGAACGCACAUUGCGCCCCUUGGUAUUCCGAGGGGCAUGCCUGUUCGAGCGUCAUUAUAACCCCUCAAGCUCAGCUUGGUGUUGGGGCCUGCCGCACGGGCAGCCCUUAAAAUCAGUGGCGGUGCCAUCUGGCUCUAAGCGUAGUAAUUCUUCUCGCUAUAGAGUCCCGGUGGUGUCUUGCCAGAACCCCUCAUUUUUUAUGAUUGACCUCGGAUCAGGUAGGGAUACCCGCUGAACUUAAGCAUAUCAAUAAGCGGAGGA